UGGGGAGCUCAACUAUCACAGCCUUCCUUCCUAAAUACAUGCUUUUUUUGUGCUGUCAGAUUUGGUGUCGAUUAGCUCACGUGCUGUAGGCAAAAUACCUUUUACUGCUGGGACAUCCACGUCCCUCUUCCAAAGAUCUUCUGUAACCAGAAGGAAUUCAGCUGAUACUGCUGCAUUUUGUUUCCAAGGGGAAGGGCAGAGAAAACCAAACAGGUGACACCUCAGCCUCGAAGAGGACAUCAUCUUACACCAAACGAGAAAGAAAAAGUCAAAAGCAGCUGUACAAAAUAAGAAAAAAUAUGGAGCUACUGGGAAAAGGGAACAGAGACUGCAAGUACGAAAGGAAAGGGAAAAAGGCAGCAACUGCUCUUCUCAGAGUUAUGAAAAUAGACAGCCAAUGGAAGCACAGACUGAAACCAAAAUAAAACACGGAUCUGUGUUCCUGAUUUUCAUGCACAAACAUGUGGAUCUAAAGAAUUUAAUCUGAACUAGAACUAUUAUUCAAAAGUCAAUUUUCCAU
rnacentral:lncRNA from 12 species